rnacentral:rRNA from 1 species
GACGAACGCUGGCGGCGUGCUUAACACAUGCAAGUCGAACGAAGUGGCGAACGGGUGAGUAAUACGUGAGUAACCUGCCCUCCUUUUUGGGAUAAGCCUUGGAAACGGGGUCUAAUACCGAAUAAAGGGGGAUGGGCUCGCGGCCUAUCAGCUUGUUGGGGGGGUAAUGGCCGACAAAGGCGGCGACGGGUAGCCGGCCUGAGAGGGUGGACGGCCACAUUGGGACGGAGACACGGCACAGACUCGUACGGGAGGCAGCAGUGGUGAAUAUUGCACAAUGGGCGGAAGCCUGAUGCAGCGACGCCGCGUGGGGGAUGACGGCCGUCGGGUUGUAAACUCCUUUCACCAUCGACGCGGUAGAUGGAGAAGAAGCACCGGCUAACUACGUGCCAGCAGCCGCGGUAAUAC